AGUCCGAUGCCACGUCGACGGUAGCAAAAUGCUAUGAUUGGACAAAUAACAAGUUUUAAUUAACGCUUCGCAUUCUGAUAGGAAUCUGUGUAUGGAUCUUUUCAAUUAGCCGUUUCGUGCGAUUACAUUU